rnacentral:misc_RNA from 1 species
UUGUGGAGGAGGACGCCGAAGGUGGGGCUAAUGACUGGGGUGAAGUCGUAACAAGGUAGCCGUACCGGAAGGUGCGGCUGGAUCACCUCCUAACAGGGAGACAACAAAAUGUUUAAUAUUAUUAUUUUGUCACCUUAGGUCGAUCGGUAUCUCACGUUCUUAAUUUGUUAAGAAUUUCAUUUCCUAAGUUUUUCUAGGUCACACCCAUUAUUUUUCCUGGGCCAUUAGCUCAGGUGGUUAGAGUGCACCCCUGAUAAGGGUGAGGUCCCUGGUUCAAGUCCAGGAUGGCCCAUAUCUCUAUGUUGGGGGUAUAGCUCAGUUGGUAGAGCGCCUGCUUUGCAAGCAGGAUGUCAGCGGUUCGAGUCCGCUUACCUCCACUGAUUACCACCUCUUACAUAACUGGUAAAAAGGAAAUGUUUUGAGUUGUGAUCAUUAUUCUGAACGAAUCUAGCUUCCUAAUGAAAUCAUUAAGAUACUGGACUCAUUGAAUUAAUUUCAUUGUUUUCAGAGAACCUUGACAACUGCAUAGAUUAUUUUUAAAGACAAUAAGCAUCUUUAAUGAUGCAGAUUUAUUAUUUGUGCGAAUGCAUUAAUAACAAUUCUAUUAAGCUGAUGCUUCAAUUUUUUGAAGUUAUUGGUCAAGCUACAA